GUUGCUUUUUAAAUCCACGAUGUCGGCUCUUCCUAUCCUUGCGAAAUAGAACUCGCCAAUUGUUGGAUUGUUCAACCACUAAUAGGCAACGUGAGGUGAGUUUAGACCGUUGUGAGACAGGUUAGGUUUACCCUACUGAUGAGUACGUCGUCUAAACAGUAAUCCAAUCCAGUACGAGAGGAACCGUUGGUUCAGAAAAUUGGUA